CACAACUCUUUAUUUAUUUGAUUUUUUAUCUAUAUGCCAGAUAGGGCUGGCUGUUGUAAUAGGAGCCACCAGCAGCCCUGGAUGGAGAAAAGAUGGUCCAGGAGACAGACAUACCUACAAUGCUGCAUAGGCCAGGCCUGGGUGCUGGGCCUGAGCUUACAUGGAUCCUGGGGAGAUGAGCAGGCCUGUGUGGCUGAGGGUCCUAGCUGAGGCCACUCAGGGCAAUGGCAGCCUACAGGUGCCCUCAGGGCUGUCACACUUGGAGGUGCUUUGGUUUAAAUUGGACAUAAUGCAUGGGAAUAGGGCUGCUUAGGUUCUGGUUGGGUGGUUCUUCCUUUUUGUGUGCCUGCCCUGAUAGUGCUGCAUGUAUGGGGGGAAAUAGACUGGCUACAGCACCCCAAGGGUCUGUUUGUCUUUCCUUUGAAACUACAACGUGGUGGAUUCAGCAACAUGAGUUCUUCAGGAAGGGACAUAUCGAUAUGGAAGAGGAACAAAACCACCAUAAUAAAGAGGUAAAAUCAAGGUAA
rnacentral:lncRNA from 1 species